rnacentral:rRNA from 1 species
GACGAACGCUGGCGGCGUGCUUAACACAUGCAAGUCGAACGGAAAGGCCCUGCUUUUGUGGGGUGCUCGAGUGGCGAACGGAUGAGUAACACGUGAGUAACCUGCCCUUGACUUUGGGAUAACUUCAGGAAACUGGGGCUAAUACCGGAUAGGAGCUCCUGCUGCAUGGUGGGGGUUGGAAAGUUUCGGCGGUUGGGGAUGGACUCGCGGCUUAUCAGCUUGUUGGUGGGGUAGUGGCUUACCAAGGCUUUGACGGGUAGCCGGCCUGAGAGGGUGACCGGCCACAUUGGGACUGAGAUACGGCCCAGACUCCUACGGGAGGCAGCAGUGGGGAAUAUUGCACAAUGGGCGGAAGCCUGAUGCAGCAACGCCGCGUGCGGGAUGACGGCCUUCGGGUUGCAAACCGCUUUCGCCUGUGACGAAGCGUGAGUGACGGUAAUGGGUAAAGAAGCACCGGCUAACUACGUG